GAUGAACGCUGGCGGCGUGCCUAAUACAUGCAAGUCGAGCGAACGGACGAGAAGCUUGCUUCUCUGAUGUUAGCGGCGGACGGGUGAGUAACACGUGGAUAACCUACCUAUAAGACUGGGAUAACUUCGGGAAACCGGAGCUAAUACCGGAUAAUAUUUUGAACCGCAUGGUUCAAAAGUGAAAGACGGUCUUGCUGUCACUUAUAGAUGGAUCCGCGCUGCAUUAGCUAGUUGGUAAGGUAACGGCUUACCAAGGCAACGAUGCAUAGCCGACCUGAGAGGGUGAUCGGCCACACUGGAACGGAGACACGGUCCAGACUCCUACGGGAGGCAGCAGUAGGGAAUCGUCCGCAAUGGGCGAAAGCCUGACGGAGCAACGCCGCGUGAGUGAUGAAGGUCUUCGGAUCGUAAAACUCUGUUAUUAGGGAAGAACAUAUGUGUAAGUAACUGUGCACAUCUUGACGGUACCUAAUCAGAAAGCCACGGCUAACUACGUG
rnacentral:rRNA from 1 species